ACACUCUGUUUUUAUGUAAAUUUAAGUAAUGGUUGACAAUGUUGAGAUGUUGAGAAUCCCACGUUGAAAAACCUAUGGGAAUAGAAGAGGCUACUCUUCUCCUAGCUUUUGAGAUAAAACUUCAUUAAUUCAAUUUUGAGGAUGGAUAACCUUUGACUUAUUGCAAAUUUUGCUGAUGGUUUUUUUUUUUUUUGUAACUUAGCACUCGUGAAGAACUUUCAAGUUUCAUCAACUUGUUAGUAUUUAAUCAUCUGUUGCACCUCCAUUGACUACUUCCAUUCUUUUGGUUUGUAACUUGGAAGGGGCACUAUCUUAAUGUUGUUGGUUAUGAGUUAGUAUUUGACAACUUGGUUUUCCAUUGUUGUUUAUAUUGUAUUAGUGUUUUUCUCUGGCUAGUGCACAACAGCAUUGUUUCUUUAUAUCUACGUGAAUUUGCAAUCAAAUUGUUAGUGCUUUGGUAGUUUGUUCCGUGGUUGUGUUCAGAAAAAUUUACCCCAAAAUUUUUGGCCCAUGAAGUUAUGGAUGAUGAAAAUUAGAAAGCCCAGAACCAUUGAUAUAUUCUAAUAAGAACAUUUUUGUAUAAGAAAUGAAUAUUUCACUGAAUACUGGGAAUCUAACCUACCUUGAGUAGUUGCUGUACAAUAAAUAAAUAAGGCACUCAACUAAUUGGAGGUGACUCAAGAGGAGGAACAACCAUCAUAGGUCGAUCAAGUGGUAAAUAGAGGGAUAUGACCUUGAUAAAAGGCUAAAAGGUUAUAGGUUCAUUCAUCCAUAGUAACUACCUACCUAAGAUUUAAUAUCAUUGACACCAAAAUCUUGUAGGGUAAAGCAUAUUACUUCAUAAUGUUAGUUUAGGUGUAUGUAAGUUGGCUUAGACACUCGUAGAUACAAAAAAUAGAAAAAACAUAGAAGGAGGAAUAAUUGUCUAAAGACCUCCAUGGAGGCACCAAAACUAACAUUGUUCCACAAUUUGAAAAAUCCCUAAAAUAUUGCUAAAUAUUGCUCCGACCAUAUCUUCUUCUUUUUCCUAGUGUAUCUUCUAGCGUUGGCUACUAAAUAGGUGCUUAUCACCUUUUUGGUUCUGAAAAUAAAUAAUUGAAAAACAGGCAAUGCUGAUAUUAGUUAGAUUCCAUCCCAAUGCCACCCAAAACCUAUCGAUUAUACUCUACAAAGUUUAUUCAUGGCAUCAGAGAAGGAUAUGGUCAAUGGAGAUUGAGACUGUAGGAAUAUUUCUUUACUUUUUGGUGGGAGGGAUGGAAGAUUUUAGGUUAUGUGAAACAUGGUUACUGGUUUGAGGAGGCACAAGGUGAUUCGAACAGGGCUUUUGAGAAAUUCGCUGCUGUGAAUGACAGUAAGAAAGUCCUAUGUGCUACGGUUAUUCAUAUCUUUGAAGUGCAUGACAGCUAAUGUGGUAGAUAGAAAUAAUGGACGGAUUGUCGCAACUGCAUCCACAGUCGAACACUCCAUCCAAGGCUCACUUGAAUGUGGCCGGUCUUGCAAUGCUAAGGCAGCAGCCAUUGUUGGAGAGGUGUUGGCUACGUGACUCAAAGUCGAUGGUCUCAGACAGGGGCAAGGAAGAGGCAUUCAUGCAGACAUAAACAAGGAAAUCGAGAAGAAAGGAUUUAAAAACGGCACAAAAAUCUGGGCUAUAGUGAAUUCGCUCAAGAAUAACAGAGUUAAACGUAUACUCGACAACAAUGUUGACGAGCCAUCUCGGUUGAGCUCUCAAUAAGCUCCUAAGGCAAUCUUAUCGUCCUUCCCUAGAUGACUAGAGCUCAACCAGUCAUGAGAAAAAACUAGAUACUGCUAAAAUGGAAUGCUAAAAUGGAAGGAACUAUCUUUAUUAGUUACAAUCAGAUUAAACAUCACUCACUAAUGAUAUUUGGAAGUUUAUGAAAUAGAGACAACUUUUUAUCUCCACUUCUUAAAUGGUGGCAUAGUGAUAGUGAUACCACAACCCACUUGGGGUAAUGAUGAUGUUAUAUCACAGUGAAAUGACCUUUUAUGAUCAUCACAACUCUACCUUACUUUCUCCUUUUUCUUCCAUGUAUUACUUAGUUUCCUUUUUCUCCA